rnacentral:rRNA from 1 species
AUGGCUGCAUGAGGACCAAACUGUCUCCUUUGACCAAUCAAUGAACCUGAUCUCCCAGUACAAAAGCUGGAAUAAAACCAUAAGACGAGAAGACCCUGUGGAGCUUUAAAUAUAACUACUAAUUAUAACUGCACCCCCAGGGCCCACAAAACCAAAAUAGUACACAUUUUUAGUUGGGGCGACUACGGAACCAAACAAAACUUCCACGACAACAGACCACCCCCCCCCCCCCCAGGUAAACAUACCAACACCAUUUGACCCAGUAACACUGACCAACGAACCAAGUUACCCCAGGGAUAACAGCGCCAUCCUCUUCAAGAGCCCAUAUCGCCAAGAGGGUUUACGACCUCGAUGUUGGAUCAGGACCCCCAGGUGGUGCAACCGCUACCU